rnacentral:rRNA from 1 species
UACGUAGGGGGCAAGCGUUGUCCGGAAUUAUUGGGCGUAAAGAGCGCGUAGGCGGUCCGAUAAGUCGGCUGUGAAAGUCAGGGGCUCAACCCUUGAAAGCCGGCCGAUACUGUCGGACUAGAGUCCGGAAGAGGCAAGUGGAAUUCCCGGUGUAGCGGUGAAAUGCGUAGAUAUGCGGAGGAACACCGAUGGCGAAGGCAAUCCCCUGGGCCUGCACUGACGCUCAUGCACGAAAGCGUGGGGAGCAAACAGG